rnacentral:tRNA from 1 species
GGCGGAAUGGCAGAUUGGCUAUGCAGCGGAUUGCAAAUCCGUGUAUCUCGGUUCGACUCCGGGUUCCGCCU